rnacentral:rRNA from 1 species
UACAGAGGUCCCAAGCGUUGUUCGGAUUCACUGGGCGUAAAGGGUGCGUAGGUGGUGAGGUAAGUCGGAUGUGAAAGCUCGGAGCUCAACUCCGAAAUGGCAUUGGAAACUACCUUGCUCGAGGGUUGGAGGGGGGACUGGAAUGCUUGGUGUAGCAGUGAAAUGCGUAGAUAUCAAGCGGAACACCAGUGGCGAAGGCGGUUCUCUGGGCCUUACCUGACGCUGAGGAGCGAAAGCGUGGGGAGCGAACAGG